rnacentral:tRNA from 1 species
GCCUUCGUGGUGUAAUGGUUAGCACACUGAGCCGGUAUUUCAGAGGUCCGCGGUUCGAUUCCCGGCGAAGGCG